GUCUGACCAACCUCCUCCCGC
rnacentral:miRNA from 1 species